UCCUUUGUGGCUGAGUGGUCAAUGUCAUGGUCUAUAGAUCGCAGGGACCCUGGUUCAAGCCCUGCCGGAAGCA
rnacentral:tRNA from 1 species